rnacentral:rRNA from 1 species
ACUUAUGAACAAAUAAUCGUGAAUAAGCAUUUUCUUGUUGUAUCUCAGAGGCCAAGCAGAGUUGACCCUGGUUAGCACUUGGAUGGGAGAUUACCUGGGAAAACCCUGUGUUGUAGGCU